UACGGAGGGUGCAAGCGUUGUUCGGAAUCACUGGGCGUAAAGAGCACGUAGGUGGGCUAGUAUGUCGAUUGUGAAAGCCCAGAGCUUAACUUUGGAAUUGCAGUCGAAACUGCUAGUCUUGAAUGCCAGAGAGGAUGGCGGAAUUUCCGGUGUAGAGGUGAAAUUCGUAGAUAUCGGAAGGAACACCAGUGGCGAAGGCGGCCGUCUGGACGAUGACUGACACUGAGACGCGAAAGCGUGGGGAGCAAACAGG
rnacentral:rRNA from 1 species